GGCCGCGGGAAUUCGAUUGCCCUUUAUAUCUCGGGCUACACACGUGCUACAAUGGCUGAUACAGAGGGGAGCAAAGCUGCGAAGUGGAGCAAAUCCUAUAAAAUCAGUCCCAGUUCGGAUUGCAGGCUGCAACUCGCCUGUAUGAAGUUGGAAUCGCUAGUAAUCGCAGGUCAGCAUACUGCGGUGAAUACGCUCCCGGGCCUUGUACACACCGAAUCACUAGUGAAUUC
rnacentral:rRNA from 1 species